rnacentral:lncRNA from 1 species
UGAUUCCUUUUUUUUCCCCUCCCUCAGCCUCCCAAAAUUAUAGAGCUUUUUCUUUAAUCUUUUUAUUUAUUUUUUCUUCUUUUCCACGACAAGCUCCCAAAAUUAUGGAGGUUUCUAGAUUCAUAGCAAAAUGACCAUUAUGUCCUUACACUUGUUCGUUUCUAUUUCAUUCGUUAUAAUUUCGUUUCACGAACGGUUUUCGCCCACACGCUCGUGAGAUCGAACUCUAUCCAAAUAUGCCAAGAAAACGAUAAUAUAUGCGAGGAUAGGAUACAUUCUCGUAUAUUUCAAUUUAGCCAACUAGGGCAUUUUCGUCAUUUCACUUAUCGACAAGGAAAAACUAAUGUAGGUUAUAAAAAUUCCCAAAAAUAAAACUUAAAUGUUUCCUCAAUUCAAAUUUUCAUAAUCAUAAAUCGGUUUAUUUUCGAUUUUCCCCACAUAUUAAUAAUUAUGAAUAUCUAAUUCAUAUACUUAAAUUUUCAAGGUAUAACAAAAUAUGGAGAGUUUAGUUAACUAAAUGUUCGGUGUGUAUAAAACAACCAUUAAUUUUUAAUGCCAUAAAACACGUGCUAAAAUAUCAUUGACCAAAUCAAAAGAUUGAAUACUCAUUAGUGAGUAUAUAAGGAUUAUCCCCUCUUGCAUCUAUUCACCCUAUCAAUAAAUAUCGUACUUGUUAAAAGAAAACAACAUUAAAACCCAUAGCCCAAAUAAAAUAAUCACUUUAUUUGUCAAUAAAUACGUUUUUUCCUCUUCAACUAAGAUCAAAAUCACUUACCAAAAUUUAUCUGGCUAAAGUAGGCCUAGUUUGGUAUUUUCUUUUCACCAAAAACUGCUUCACAUUAAAGUUAAGCAGUAAAAAAGUAUUUGGUAAAAUUAAAAUAUGCUGCUUAUUUUAAAAGCAAUGACCUCUAGACAUCAACUUUUAAAAACAGCCUAUAUGUUGCUUUUAAAAGCUGCUUUAACAAAAAAUGGAGUUAACCCUUAUUUUUUUAAGCCUUUAAACAAUGACAUUAUUUAUCCUUCUAGACACUGCUUUUACAUUGUUUUUCAUACUCACAACAUUUUUAAAAAUACAGUUUAUCAAACGCUCAACUUUUUUUUAUUUUACAGCUGAUUAUUCUUAAAGCACAACAAAAUCAAUUUAUUAAAAAAACACAUAAAUCCUAAACUGGCACUUUAUCCUACAAUCAGUGUUUUAAAAAUCAUCGUCUAGACCCUGCCAGUUAGGCGCUAAGUUGUUGGCUACAGACACAAUUAAUCCUAGAUGUUUAAAAUUCUACGAUUUUAUAAAUUUUAAAAGUGGGAGUUGACGAAAAUGCCCUUAGAGGCGAGGAUGUUGACUUUCGUUGACUAGCAUAUUGUGAGAUGUACAAAACAUUCUUUUAGCAUAUCCUCGUAGUGCUCGUCAUUACAAACAUGUAGGCGGAAUCGGAAUCGAAGCUACGGUUAAAAUUUUAUGGAACUAUGAUCGUAAAUGGCGUUUUAAUAAUUUCACGUUUACGGGAGAUAAUUUGAUUUUGUCUUUUGGCCUUAGGUUGUACCACAUGGGGCCCACGGCCCAUUCCUCCACCUCUCUCCCGUGUCCCCUAUCUUUGGGGACAAUCUCACUUUUAAAAAAAAUAAAUAAAUAAAAAAAUAAAAAAUUCCCUCACCUCACUUCCACCACUCAUUGGCUAACAACUCAUCUUUUUCCCUCUCAGACUCCCUCUCCCUCUAACUUUUCAACUAUGAUGAUGUUUCACUCGACCAACACCACAUCCUUGUUCCUCUUAAACCUUUCUCCAAACUCACAGUCUUUUUCUUGUCCCUUCUACCUCCAUUGGUAUGGAGAAAGCAACAGUGCAUAGUCACCUAACUAAGCCAACUCCGGCGAGAUUUCUCAAGAUUCCGACCAAGGUAAGCUUUGAAAUUGAUGGUAAUCAUCUUAGAUUGCUGUUUUAUACAUGAUUCUUAUUUUAUGUGAGAGAAAUGUCAAAGUUUUAGUGCAGAUCAGUUCGGGAGAAACUUUCUCCGUUUUCUUGCGAGAGAUCCAGCAUUUUCGAACCGUUUCCUGGCCAACCUUGGCCACAGCAUGACCUCACAUUGGUAUAUUUCUCUUCCUGUCCUCUUAAUCUUCAUUUUGGUAGGAAGAGUGUGAAAAAUAGUUGAGAAAUCAAGCUAUUAGAACCUUGUUUUGUUCUCCGACGAGAUUUCCAGAAUCCAACGGUUGCAGCGGUAAUCGAUCAGAGAAAAAUAAGAGAGAAAAAAGAAAAAAAAAGGGCUUUAGGCCCAAAAGCCAAGUAUCCUUGGCCCAAAUCUUUAGCUUGAUUGGCCCAAUCCUUUAGGCCAUUAUUCCAGCUGACCCAGUUCUAAAUGAGCUUAGAAUAUCUUUGUGUUGACUUUUUCAGAAUUUUCUCGAAAACCCUCUUAUGUUAAUUUCGACAUCCCGAGUCCAUUUUUGAUUUCCAUUUAGUGAAAUUCUAAAUUUUUAAAAUAGUUGAUCGCCGGGGUGUCUCGGUUGACUUUUUAGGGUUGAUCGUUGACUUGGGGACCCUCUUUAGCGUAUUUCAACGCCCUGAUUCCAAAUCCGCACUCUGUUUUCUCCAAUUUAAUUGUCUUAGCGGAGUUUACUAAUGGGUCCCAAUAUUAUGCUUAGGUGCAAUUACUAUCGGAGACUCCAACUUUCUAGCUUGAACGGAUGUGACACCGCAAGUAACUGUGAGCGAGUCUUUGCUUUUAAAUAGUAUAUAUUUAUUUAGUUUCCAUUUAUACAUUGAAAAAGAAUUUCCUACGCAUGCCUAUGGUUAGACUAAUGUUUAUAAGAAUUAGCGAAAUGAUGGAAUUUACGAAAUUAUUAUGAAUCCUGCGGGAUGCACAUGUAUGCGUACUAUUAUGGGACGCCUUAAUUAAAUUUAUGGCUAUGAUGAAUGUUAUGUUGACUAGAAUUAUCGAAUCAUUGUGGCAUGACUAUAUUUAUCUUAUUUGCUCAUUGUUUGAUGCAUCGGUGUUAGUACUUGCCCGGGCCAUGGCCAGUAUUUCACAUGUAUGUGCACAUCGCACCGUACGCUCACUUUGGAUCCAUUGUAGGUGCCAGUCAUGUCCUAGAUUGCUAUAGGCAAUUAAAACUCGUAUGUGUUGCACAUAGCGCUAGUCUUCACAUAAUUGUAGUACUAGAGCGUAUAUCAUUGUUACACCCAGUCCUGUUCAUGUCAGAAUACCUCUGCAUGAACUCGUAUGUCAGCAUGUGUCGAUGAGCACUUGAUAUGAUAUGUUUGCUUAUAUGAGAUUAUGUGAUUACAGACGUCAUGUGCUUACUUAUGAAAUAUCGUGCCAUACUAAAUUCUUGAGAUUUUGCAGGCUUCGGUAAGUACUUUCUUACUAUACGUAGUAUGUAUAUUUUGGAAACUAUACUUAUUUUAUAGCAAGGGGUUAUUAUGUUUUCAAAAAGGUUUUUACAAAGCUUUAUUUUAGGCCCACUCACCCUUGAUUUUCACCCCUCUAGGUUUUAGUAGCUGAGCUUUCGUAUCGGCGAGGAUUCUUGGCAAUCUAGGCAUUAAUGAUUACCACCGAUGGUAUAACUCUCAAUUUACUAUACUGUAAUUUACUUAUGCUCUGAUAUCAUGUGUGAAAUGAGUUCAUUCCCACUCACUAGCACACUCUUAUACUUAGGCACAUUUUAGGUUUAAAUUUAUUCAAUUUUUCCACAUCACUACACUUUAUGGCUUCGUCACCCUCUUGAUGUCGUCCAGCACAGCUCGAUUCAGAGUCCAAGUGGACAUACCGGGUCGAGGUGUGUUAGCAUAAACUUGCCUAGGCGCCUACCUAGGUCAAGACUCUCACGUAGACAGAAAAUAAAUAACUUUCCCUUUGCAUUUUAUUUUUUCAAUAAAUAGUAAUAGACUUUUGGAUACUUUUUGUUUUCUGAAGGAAAGACGAUAUCAUUAACUUGGAAAAGCUACAUUGUUUCUUGAUGAGAAGAUCUAGAAUAACACUCGGAGGCUCCUCAAUCCAAACUAAACGUGUCCUGCUUGACACUGCUACCUUUGCCAAACAAUGGGCAAUACCAUUAUUAUUCCUAUCAAUAUAAAUAAACUUCAAAGUAGUAAACGAAGCUGCACUAUGUAAAACAUCCCCUGCUAGCAAAUCCAUAGCCGAAGCCCAAAUCCACACAAGAUAUUGAUAAUGGAAAUUGCUUGGGAGGAGUCAUUUUUUACUUAAACCUUUUGAUAGCCAAGUUAUUGAGCAAACUCCACUCCAUGCAUAAUCGCUAGCAACUCAGCUUGGAGAGCCGAGGAAACAAUGGGAAGAAAGCAUGUCGUUGCUGCCAUAAAAGCUCCUUGCGCGUCACGGAUUACAACACUAGCCCCACCCACCUAAACCUGCAAUUUAGUAGCUGUGUCCACAUCACUCUCACCUAAUUCUCCGCGACCACCCCAGGCAUCGAACCACUUCCUCCCCUCUACCGAGUACGAGGCGUCUGUUGCUGAGCAGUAAGUAUAAUAUAUGUCGUAGCCUGGAAUUCCUGUAACCAUGCCACAGCACGUUGCGCCACAAAACUUGGGGCUUCUUGCUUCCCACUCCAAAUUCGAUCAUUCCUCACAUGCCAAAGAUGCCAGACCACCAUACAAAUGAAGUCGAAAUUAGAAUGAUUAGUUUGUAACAACAAUAAAAACCAUUCCUUGACCGAUCCGCAAGGGACGAAAUUAACUAGAAAGCUACAUGGGGUUGCAAACCAUGUAGCUCUAGUAAAAUGACGCUCCUUGAGAACAUGCACCACCGUCUCUGGUGCUCCAUAACAGAAAACGCACUUCAAAUCCAGUGGUACUCCUUUCUUAGACAAUAUUCCCCACUUUCGGCGGAACUUUGGCCUUCCAUAUAGCUUUCCAUGAAAGAGUAAACCGAUUACCUCCAGAAGCUGAAGAAGACGCACUUAGUGACGGUGGUUUAAUAGAAUCCCAUGCAACCCAAUAAACACUCUUGACUGUGAAAAUAACCUGGUCAUUAUAAUGCCAAAUUAGUUUAUCAGGUGGAAGCCGAUAACUAAUGGGCAAAGAACGAAUAUGCUCCAUGUCUUCUUCCUAAAAAAAACUCAGUCAACUUAGCGUCACAACUUAGCGUCACACCACGCUUUCAUUUCUACAUCAAUGAGCUCAUGAACCUUCAUAUUGUUACACCCAUCCCUACUUAUAAAAAAGAAAAAAAAAAAAUAUAUAUAUAUAUAUAUAUUUCUGCAAUGAUCCACAAAAUAUUAUUGGAACUAUCAAUUUAGUCCCUAAUUUUAUUACCCAAUCAGGAUCUGAAAAUAAAAUUCUUUUCAUCCUCAAACUGCCACAUGGCAGCACCCCAGCACUCAUUACUUUUCUCUUUCUAUCCCCUACCCCGUGACUUCAUCUUCUUCUUUCAUCUCUCUCUCGAAACCUUCAUAUCUUUCCUUCUUUCACCGAGACAUGCACGCAGCUGCACAAUCGGCUCGAGGGAAGACACCACUAUCAUCAACAACCUCGUUGUUCUUCGCAGCAACGGGAGAGAGAGAGAUAAAUAUCUAGCUGAUUAAGAGAAACUUAAAGGCAGCGCAAGACCGACAGAAAAACAUCGUGGACAAACAUUCCAG